rnacentral:rRNA from 1 species
UCGAGAAUUUUUCACAAUGGGCGCAAGCCUGAUGGAGCGACGCCGCGUGGGGGAUGAAUGGCUUCGGCCCGUAAACCCCUGUCAUUUGCGAACAAUUCGGUUCAACUAAUACCUGAACCGUUGAUAGUAGCGAAAGAGGAAGGGACGGCUAACUCUGUGCCAGCAGCCGCGGUAAUACAGAGGUCCCAAGCGUUGUUCGGAUUCACUGGGCGUAAAGGGUGCGUAGGUGGUGAGGUAAGUCGGAUGUGAAAUCUCCGAGCUCAACUCGGAAAUGGCAUUGGAAACUACCUUGCUAGAGGAUCGGAGGGGGGACUGGAAUACUUGGUGUAGCAGUGAAAUGCGUAGAUAUCAAGUGGAACACCAGUGGCGAAGGCGAGUCCCUGGACGAUACCUGACACUGAGGCACGAAAGCUAGGGGAGCAAACAGGAUUAGAUACCCCCGUAGUCC